AUUGAACGCUGGCGGCAGGCUUAACACAUGCAAGUCGAGCGGAGCGAGGGUGCUUGCACCUUAGCUUAGCGGCGGACGGGUGAGUAAUGCUUAGGAAUCUGCCUAUUAGUGGGGGACAACAUUCCGAAAGGAAUGCUAAUACCGCAUACGCCCUACGGGGGAAAGCAGGGGAUCUUCGGACCUUGCGCUAAUAGAUGAGCCUAAGUCGGGUUAGCGAGUUGGUGGGGUAAAGGCCUACCAAGGCGACGAUCUGUAGCGGGUCUGGGAGGAUGAUCCGCCACACUGGGACUGAGACACGGCCCAGACUCCUACGGGAGGCAGCAGUGGGGAAUAUUGGACAAUGGGCGGAAGCCUGAUCCAGCCAUGCCGCGUGUGUGAAGAAGGCCUUUUGGUUGUAAAGCACUUUAAGCGAGGAGGAGGAGCUCUAGGUUAAUACCCUAGAUGCUUGGACGUUACUCGCAGAAUAAGCACCGGCUAACUCUGUGCCAGCCGCCGCGGUAAAAC
rnacentral:rRNA from 1 species